rnacentral:sRNA from 1 species
AUUGCUGGGGCUCUGCUUCGGGGAGGAGGACGCUGAGGAGGCGCCGAGCCGCGCAGCGCUGCGGGGGAGGCGCCCGCGCCGACGCGGGGCCCAUGGCCAGGACCACCAGCCAGCUGUAUGACGCCGUGCCCAUCCAGUCCAGCGUGGUGUUAUGUUCCUGCCCAUCCCCAUCAAUGGUGAGGACCCAGACUGAGUCCAGCACGCCCCCUGGCAUUCCUGGUGGCAGCAGGCAGAGCCCUGCCAUGGAUGGCACUGCAGCCGAGCCUCGGCCUGGUGCUGGCUCCCUGCAGCAUGCCCAGCCUCCGCCACAGCCUCGGAAGAAGCGGCCUGAGGACUUCAAGUUUGGGAAAAUUCUUGGGGAAGGCUCUUUUUCCACGGUUGUCCUGGCUCGAGAACUGGCAACCUCCAGAGAAUACGCGAGUGAGUAUGGGCUGCAGGGAGCUGUGCGUCUGGGAGCAGGGCCAGCGGCUCCGUGCAGGGCAGCCGGGGUGGCAGGGCCGGGGUUUCUGUGCUGAUUUCAGGGUACAGGACACUGUUGGCUUUAGAGACCACCAGGCUGGUGUGUACAAUGUUUGAAAGACUUUAAUUUGUACCAGUUACCUUUGUGAGUCAUGUCUUUAGUGUUUUUUGUUGUUUCUGAUAGUAACUCACUUCUCUCUCACCUGAAGUUAAAAUUCUGGAGAAGCGACAUAUCAUAAAAGAGAACAAGGUCCCGUAUGUAACCAGAGAGCGGGAUGUCAUGUCGCGCCUGGAUCACCCUUCUUUGUUAAGCUUUACUUCACAUUUCAGGACGACGAGAAGCUGUGUAUCCUUUGCGUGGUUGGUGCCGUCUGAAGCCACACCAGUCACCCCUCUCACUUGGAAUCAGACCCUGUGUGUUCCCACAAGCAGCCCCCGCUCCCUGCCGAGUGGGGUCCCUCAGGCCGCUGACAUUCAGGGAGGCAGCCGAGGCAGCGCCAGGGUGUGGCCGUGAGUCUGCACAGGACGUUACCUCCCGGAGAAGCCAUUGAUGUGGCUCCAGCACAGUCCUCUCUGCUGCGGCUUGCUUGGUCGGUGUCCCUUGCUCCCCUAGAGUGCCAUCUUUUCUGUUAUUAAACCUUGGCUCAGGAAUCUGGGAGGCAAGG